CAAAUUCGUGCAUCUCUCUCACGUCUCUCUCUUCCUCUCCCAUGUCUCUCUUCCUUCACACAUGAAAAUCAGAUCAGAUCCGUGUCUCUCUCAAAUUGGAGCAAAGAACAUGGGGCAUGGAUCCCGUACCUCUCUCUCUCUCUCUCUCUCUCUCUCUCUCUCUCUCACGUGUCACUUCCUCCCCACAAGAAAAACAGAUCAAUAUCUCUUCCAAAUCGGAGCAAAAAACUUGGGGCAUGGAUCACGUGCGCCCACAGGCAAAGAAGUUGGAGCGUGAAUACCCCAAGCUCAAGGAGGUUAUCAUAUUAAAAUUUCCUCAUCUAGAUCAGGGAUUGCUGCAACACCCAAAUUAAUAGGUGAGGCUACUUUGGUCGGUCACCGGAUCGCUGGCGUCAGUGCAUCCAUGUUUGACAAAAGGAAACUGCAGAUGUGUCCAACCAUAGCCAUAGGUACAUACAAAGACCAGAAGUAUACAAAAGUUUUAUGUUAAACGAUGUCUGCAUGGUUAAGAAACUAAGCAUACGCCCAUGCAUGAUAGUUCAUAGGUAAGGCCAAUAGGCCAUAGUUGUUUAAAACAUACGAGUUCUCUAUUGUUGGUUCUUAAUUAUGACAGGAUCCGUACAUGCUACUGAUAAAUUGAAAAACAUGCCUCCUUUGAUCCUACCUCCUCAAUCCCCUACAAACACACACUUCAUACUGAUAUAUGCCACGGCAAACAAAAAUGAUGACUUAGACAGUGCGGCCAAGGACGA
rnacentral:rRNA from 1 species